CACGCAAAGAUGCAAUGGCAAGAGAGCAGAAAUUAAAACAAGGUCAAUCAAAAAGACAUUUGAUUGAUAGAAUACAAGACAGUAUAAAACUUUGUGAAUAAAAUUGAGUGCGGGAUAGUGGCGGACGGGUGAGUAACGCGUGAAUAAUCUGCCCCAUACAGGGGGAUAGCCUCGGGAAACCGGGAUUAAAACCGCAUAACACUUUAUCACCGCAUGGUGAUGAAGUCAAAUCGAUUAAGAGGUAUGGGAUGAGUUCGCGUCUGAUUAGCUAGUUGGCGGGGUAAAGGCCCACCAAGGCGACGAUCAGUAGCCGGCCUGAGAGGGUGACCGGCCACACUGGAACUGAGACACGGUCCAGACUCCUACGGGAGGCAGCAGUGGGGAAUAUUGCACAAUGGGGGAAACCCUGAUGCAGCGACGCCGCGUGAGUGAAGAAGGUCUUCGGAUCGUAAAACUCUGUCCUUGGUGACGAAGGAAGUGACGGUAACCAAGGAGGAAGCCCCGGCUAACUACGUG
rnacentral:rRNA from 1 species